CAACAAUUAAAUAUCAUUAGGGUUCUUGAAUAAUAGGAAUUUCAAGCUAUUCGAAGGUAUAAUUUAUGACAAGUUAAGGAGGACAACCUUUACCUUGAAGAAUUCAAGUCUUAGCAAGUGAUAGUUAUGUCCAGCAAGGUAAGCUACUGCAAUUUUCUCCCUCUUGUGCUUGACUUAAUUAGCACUUGUUAUGUGUUAGUGAGUUGGAAAUUUCUACUUUUACAUGGUGAAUUGUGGGGAGGAUGUUCUGGUGAUUAGUGCAUGUUGGGACAGUUAUGGUGGGGAGUCCUCUUUAAGCUAAGCUAGGAGCUUGUUUGAGCACUUUAAAAGUAAUAUUAGCUCUUCAAGUGCUGGUGAUCAGAAACCAUGAUUCAUAUUGCUUCUAUUACAUUAUUAUGUUCAAAUAUUAUUUUAUGUAUGUUAUGAUAAGGGAUAUGACUGGAUGUGCGGGGAAGUUAUAGGAGACGUUAAAGGUCUUAAAUAUUGCAUGGAGUUUUAGGGAGGACCUGAUACGAAGAUUUAUAGUAUAUAGACGCGAUUAAAGGGAUAGGGAAGGAAAGAAAACACUGGCUAGACAGAUUGCAUCUUGCUUCGUUACUAUUUAGGUGUGAUCAAGCAGCUCAAAUUGAUUUAUUACCUACUAAUACCAACUUAUUUUACUGUAGAUUAGUGAUCUGAAGAGAAGGAGCUUAAGUCAUACAUUUUGAAUUGUAUAGAAAUGUAUGUAUGGCUAUUUGAUUUCCUAUUUCUUUGCAUAAAUCCAAAACAUGCAUUACAAAAAGUAAGCUUUCUAAGUGCCCUUGGCAGUGUUUGAUCCAUAGUUGCAGUUCCUACUCCCAAGAGCAUUGAAGUGCGUACUCUAAUAUGAGUUUGUUACUAAAUGUGUGUGUUUACUCUACCAAGUGUUAGCAUGCUUGUUUAUACUCGUUUUAUCGUAAAAGUACCCCUAGCACGUAUUUCCAUUAUAUAAGUCAAAGUGAUCCUAGAUUACACAUGGUACAUAUGUUUAUAGCAUGGAUAUACGAUAUGCCCAUAUCUUGCCAACUUGCUUUAAUUGUUUAUAGAUAUGUCAUCUUGUCACUCGUUUAUAUGUUCCCUUUCUUGUUAUCACUCCCAUUGUGUAAGACAAUAAUGUUACCUCACAUGAUCUCUACUUGCUCAAUUAUACGUUUAUAUGUACUUACUUGGAAUAUGUAUCUGUCCUUAAGUUGAAUUUGCCCUAUUUCCCCCUUGGUUCCACAUGCAUGAACAUCUUGUUUUUGUAUCAUAUAGAGUUCAAAUCUCUUGGCUGAAUGUUCAAUUUUCUUCACUGGAUGUGCUUCAAUUUGUGAUGUUAAAAUGCUUACCGAGUCAUAUAAGCUCCUAAGUACUACGUUCAAAUCACAUUUGCUUCCCAUGUCAUUGUUAUUAACGUAUGUUCAUAUUCAUAUGUCUUCUACUACUGGUUCGCAAUAAAUUUAAAUAAGGAUUGUGACCACCAAAACAAUAAUCAAAAUAAAAUUUUGAACAUCAAAAAGAAAAAUUUCAAAAGAGUUAUUAUUUAUUAAAGAACAAUCCCAAAGGAGUUAUGAACUGAUAAAUAACAAUCUCAAAAAUGAAAGAAUCUAAGUGAAGUAAUCUAUAUGUGAUUAUGUGUGGCAGCUCAGGGGCAAAAUCCUAGGAUGGGACGAUCCCGAUUGGUAUGGAAGGGUGACAACUUAGGGGCGAAAUCCCAUCAUGUGUCGAUCCCGAUUGGUAUGGAAGGGUGGCAGCUCAAGGGCGAAAGCCUAGAAUGGGCCGAUCCCAAUUUGUAGAAUUAUGAGGACAGCAUCCCAGGGGUCAUUUGUAUCAUAUGUUGUAUAAAGUUUAUAAAGAACAGAAAAGUAAAGAAAAGAAUGUAACAUGCACGAUUCCACAAGUACAAAUCAAAGGUUGUCUCUAAUCCUUAUCUACUGGUAUUUGGUUUCACUUGAGCUCUCAUGUUACAUAUGGUUGUAUUAUUCCUUGCAUAUUCAGUACAUUCUUUCGUACUGACGUCCCUUAUUGGGGACACUGCAUUUCAUGUUGCAGGUACAAGUACUGAACUAGUAGAUUUUCCCAAUAGAAGCACAUUAUACUCAGCGGAUGUUGGUGAGAUCCAGGUUGAUUCGGGGCUUUGCCGAGUCUUUACUAUGCGUAUUUUCAUAGUGGUACCAUCAUGGAUUCAAGUAGAGGCUUUGUAGACAUUAUUAAGUUAUCAUCUGUAUUCAUAGUUUCACUUGUCACAUAUAGCAGUUCAGCUAGUCAAAAGGUGUUGUAUAUGAAGUUUCAUCAGUAAUUUGCAUAGUAGUUUACUUUCC
rnacentral:lncRNA from 1 species